GGCGAACGGGUGAGUAACACGUGGGCAACCUGCCCCGGACACCGGGAUAACCCAGGGAAACCUGAGCUAAUACCGGAUACUCCGGCGCGAUCGCAUGGUCGCGCCGGGAAAGCUCCGACGGUCCGGGAUGGGCCCGCGGCCUAUCAGCUUGUUGGUGGGGUAACGGCCCACCAAGGCGACGACGGGUAGCUGGUCUGAGAGGACGGCCAGCCACACUGGGACUGAGACACGGCCCAGACUCCUACGGGAGGCAGCAGUGGGGGAUCUUGCGCUAAUGCGCGAAAGCGUGACGCAGCGACGCCGCGUGGGGGAUGAAGGCCUUCGGGUUGUAAACCCCUUUCGGCAGGGACGAAGGGAAACUGACGGUACCUGCAGAAGAAGUCCCGGCUAACUACGUGCCAGCAGCCGCGGUAACACGUAGGGGACGAGCGUUGUCCGGAUUCAUUGGGCGUAAAGCGCGCGUAGGCGGCUCGGAAAGUCGGGCGUGAAAUGCCGGGGCUCAACCCCGGGACUGCGUCCGAUACUUCCGAGCUGGAGGUAGGUAGGGGAGAUCGGAAUUCCUGGUGUAGCGGUGAAAUGCGCAGAUAUCAGGAGGAACACCGGUGGCGAAGGCGGAUCUCUGGGCCUUACCUGACGCUGAGGCGCGAAAGCUAGGGGAGCGAACAGGAUUAGAUACCCUGGUAGUCC
rnacentral:rRNA from 1 species